AUGAAGAGAAACCUCCUCAUCAUCCUCAUCAUCACAUCAGGUGUGCUUGGUGCUGAUCAAAUUGGACCAGAUGAUCAGGAGAUUGAUGUUUUUAGAAAAGAGGGAGAACCUGUUACACUGAAAUGCUCUUAUGACUCAAGUAGUGAAAAUGUCUAUCUCUUCUGGUACAGACAGUAUCUUAACAGAGCUCUACAGUUUAUACUGUAUAAAGGUGCUCGAUCAUACAGUGGCACCAAUAUUGCAGACCAUAGAUUUGAGUCUACUACAUCCUGGUCAUCCACUGAGCUCAGAGUUAGAGAGCUGAGACUGGCAGAUACAGCUCUCUACUACUGUGCUCUUAGAGUUGGAGCCCAGUGAUACAAAGUCCCUGAGACGCUUUACAAAAACUCUCACACCUUCUGUUUGCUUUGAACACACAGAGAUCAAAGUAACAGUCAAACCACAGUGUAUUAUCUGUUAUUACACUCUCUCUGAGCAGUGUAAUGAAAGUGCUUGUUACACACUGUAGGAUAUGU